rnacentral:rRNA from 1 species
GUGCAAUAUACGGCAGUAUGACACAGAGAGCACACGCCCUCUUGGCCUGUCCAACUAAGUGCCAGCAGACGCGGUUAGACUUAGGGGCCAAGCCUUUAUGAGCAAAGGGGCGUAAAGGGUGUGUAGGCCNGACCGCCCCACCCCCCCAAGGUGGUAAAUGGAAUUUUUCUGUAGCGGUAGAAUGUGCGGAUAGAAAAUAGAACCCCAAAAGCUGAAGCAAUUUACCGCGGGGCGGGAGGGGGGGGCCCCCUGGGGCGCCCCCCCGGGCUACGGGCUGAAACACGAGGGUGUGGGGAACAAACAGGAUUAGAGACCCUGGUAGUCCACACUGUAAACGAUGGAGAAAAUGCGAAUGCAGCCCCGAAAGGCAGCAAUCUCCCGCCUGAGUAGUACGAUCGCAAGAUUAAAAUUCCAAAAAUUUGGCUGUUCACCGUUUCGAUUAGAGGAGCGUGUAGUUUAAUUCGAUAAACCGCGAGAUACCUUACCCAAACUUGAAUCCUUGAGGAUUCCAAGGAAUCCUUAUGGACCGGUAUUGCAUGGCCGUCGUCAGUUCGUGUAUGAAACCUUAAACGGACCCAACCCGAGGAUUAGCCGCGGAUGAAGUCAGGUCUUAUGGUCCCAAUGUUUGGGGAUAAUAUGCGCUACAUUUUCUUAUACAAUGGGAAACCUGGGAGGUGAAACCCAAAAGUGAGAGUUCGGUAGGCUAUUGGAAGAUGGCCGAAAGUUGAAUUUAAUAGUAAUCGGAAAGUAUAGCGUUCCGGUGAAAUGAUCUAGGUGUUAGCACAAAUCGCCCGUCACCUUAACUUAGGAUGA